rnacentral:rRNA from 1 species
CAGGGCUUAAAUGUAGACUGACAGGGGUGGAAACACACCCUUCUUCGGACACACUGCAAGGUGCUGCAUGGUUGUCGUCAGCUCGUGCCGUGAGGUGUCAGGUUAAGUCCUAUAACGAGCGCAACCCCUGUCGUUAGUUGCCAGCAUGUAAAGAUGGGAACUCUAACGAGACUGCCGGUGCAAACCGUGAGGAAGGUGGGGAUGACGUCAAAUCAUCACGGCCCUUACGUCCUGGGCCACACACGUGCUACAAUGGCAGGUACAAUGGGCAGCCACGCCGCAAGGGGGAGCUAAUCCACAAAACCUGUCUCAAUUCCGAUCGGGGAUCUGCAACUCCACCCCCUGAAGCUGGAAUCGCUAGUAAUCCGAUAUCAACAAUGAUCCGGUGAAUACGUUCCC